AUCGUGUCCAAAUCAUAAAAUGGAAGAGUAGUUUUUAAGUUAUUUAGCUUUGUGUCUAAGGAUGAAAGGUCCAUGUUAAUGGACUUAGAUAUGGCAGCUAUGAAUAUGGAGGAAUUUCGGAUUGAACAAUUUGUGGCUUCGAUUAGAAACGUGAUAUUAAGAAGAUAAUUUAAAGUUGCRUKCUUCCAAAAUKUGCAACAAAUUAUGAAAAAUAUUCAAGAAAAAUUGGCAAAUAGAAAUAGAAUGCGCUAAAGUUCUAGUUAGUAGUUACCAAGGUUGGAACAAGUUAUUUUACAAGAACCAUUGCUGGAACUGGGAGCGGGUCCAACAAAUACAUUGAGUAAAGU